GAGGAAGGAACCCAUCAUCACCACUGAGACCACAUUAGCUUUCUGCCACUGCGACAGACGUGUGAGAAGUCUGACGUGGGCCUCAGGGUGCCGGCAGGGCCAGGCUCCUUCUGGAGACAGUAAAGAUGGCCCACUCCUUGUUCAUACAGCAGUGUUGGCUGGAGGUCACCCUAACUGCUGAGGGCUGCCCACCCUCCUCACUCUGUUCCCCUUCCUGGUCAUCAAAGACAUCAAGGGCCCUGAGCAUAUUAGACAAGCCCACAAGACCCAUCUUUGUGGGUUUAUGGGAUACUAGCCAGGCUGCUGGACAGACCUGCCAUCCCACAUACCUGGCACAAGAGGACAGAGUCUCCAAGAGGCAGUAUGCAGAUGUCCAGCUGCUUACAUGAGGAGGGAAGAGCUGAGAGUAGCCCAGGUCCACUUCUGGACCUGGAGGGCCCAGGCCUGGCCAGACUCUUCCCGGUGCCUCUGGCUGUGCUUUCCCUUAUAUCUACAAUAAAACCUCCCCCUUAACCAU
rnacentral:lncRNA from 1 species